CCAUUCGUCACGUUUCAACUGUUCCUCCGUCUGCUUGUCUGUCUGUCUCAGGCUGUUGGCAAAUAGACCUAAGGCUAUGUUGAAAAAAGUCGAACAAAAAAUUUAACUAGCCACAAAUCUUCAUGUGUUUUUGCCGACAAUGAAUAAUUGAGAAUAUCCGAGAAUAGGAGGUGGGAGAAAUCACGUGUAAAGGAUUUGAACCAGACAGACAGAGUGAGCUGAUAUAAGCUUUGUAAAAAUGACGAUACCAACGUUGAUUCCAUCAGAGUGUGGUAAAUAAUUACGGAGAGAAGGUGUUAAUGUUCACAUCGUUCAGAAAUUGUGCAAAACUUG